UGCAGUCGAGCGGAUGAGGGAGCUUGCUCCUGGAGUUAGCGGCGGACGGGUGAGUAAAGCCUAGGAAUCUGCCUGGUAGUGGGGGACAACGACUCGAAAGGGUCGCUAAUACCGCAUACGUCCUACGGGAGAAAGUGGGGGAUCUUCGGACCUCACGCUAUCAGAUGAGCCUAGGUCGGAUUAGCUUGUAGGUGAGGUAAUGGCUCACCUAGGCAACGAUCCGUAACUGGUCUGAGAGGAUGAUCAGUCACACUGGAACUGAGACACGGUCCAGACUCCUACGGGAGGCAGCAGUGGGGAAUAUUGGACAAUGGGCGAAAGCCUGAUCCAGCCAUGCCGCGUGUGUGAAGAAGGUCUUCGGAUUGUAAAGCACUUUAAGUUGGGAGGAAGGGUUGUAGUUUAAUACGCUGCAACUUUGACGUUACCAACAGAAUAAGCACCGGCUAACUCUGUGCCAGCAGCCGCGGUAAUACAGAGGGUGCAAGCGUUAAUCGGAAUUACUGGGCGUAAAGCGCGCGUAGGCGGCUUGAUAAGAUGGGUGUGAAAUCCCCGGGCUUAACCUGGGAACUGCAUCCAUAACUGUCUGGCUAGAGUACAGUAGAGGGUGGUGGAAUUUCCUGUGUAGC
rnacentral:rRNA from 1 species